AGAAACUUAGGAUUACUUAAACCGAAG
rnacentral:tRNA from 1 species